GACGAACGCUGGCGGCGUGCUUAACACAUGCAAGUCGAACGGAAAGGCCCUUCUGGGGGUACUCUCGUGUCGCACGCGUGAGUAACACGCGAGUAACCUGCCCUUUGCUCUGGGAUAUCUUCAGGAAACUGGGGCUAAUACCGGAUAGGAAUCCUUGCUUUAUGGUGGGGGUUGGAAAGUUUCGGCGGUUUUGGAUGGGCUCGCGGCUUAUCAGCUUGUUGGUGGGGUAGUGGCUUACCAAGGCGGUGACGGGUAGCCGGCCUGAGAGGGCGACCGGCCACAUUGGGACUGAGAUACGGCCCAGACUCCUACGGGAGGCAGCAGUGGGGAAUAUUGCACAAUGGGCGGAAGCCGGAUGCAGCAACGCCGCGUGCGGGAUGACGGCCUUCGGGUUGUAAACCGCUUUCGGCAGGGACGAAGCUUGUGGUGACGGUACCUACAGAAGAAGCACCGGCUAACUACGUG
rnacentral:rRNA from 1 species